rnacentral:rRNA from 1 species
UUUCUUGGUUCCUUAGAGGAAGUAAAAGUCGUAACAAGGUCUCCGUUGGUGAACCAGCGGAGGGAUCAUUACUGAGUUUUUGUACUCUAUAAACCAUGUGUGAACGUACCUAUCUUGUAGUGAGAUGAAUGCUGUUUUGGUGGUAGGGCCCUUCUGAAGGGCACCGCUGCCAGCAGUAUAGUCUCGCCACUGUAAAAAACUCUUUUAUUAUUUUCUAGAUUUUUCAUUGCUGAGUGGCAUAACUAUAAAAAAGUUAAAACUUUCAACAACGGAUCUCUUGGCUCUAGCAUCGAUGAAGAACGCAGCGAAAUGCGAUAAGUAAUGUGAAUUGCAGAAUUCAGUGAAUCAUCGAAUCUUUGAACGCACAUUGCGCCUGGCAGUAUUCUGCCAGGCAUGCCUGUCCGAGCGUCAUUUCACCACUCAAGACUCUUUUGUUCUUGGCGUUGGAGGUCCUGUUCUCCCCUGAACAGGCCGCCGAAAUGUAUCGGCUGUUAUACUUGCCAACUCCCCUGUGUAGUAUAAAAUUUCUAAUUUUUACACUUUGAAGUUCUUGUGUAACACGCCGCUAAACCCUCAACUUUUGUUGAACUUUUCACAAGGUUGACCUCGGAUCAGGUAGGAAUACCCGCUGAACUUAAGCAUAUCAAAAACGGGGGAGAAAA